rnacentral:rRNA from 1 species
UACGUGAGGGGGCUAGCGUUGUCCGGAAUCAUUGGGCGUAAAGCGCGCGUAGGCGGUCAGGUAAGUCCGGUGUGAAAGUCAAAGGCUCAACCUUUGAAUGCCGCUGGAUACUGCCUGACUUGAGUCCGGAAGGGGCGAGUGGAAUUCCUGGUGUGAGCGGUGAAAUGACGCAGAUAUCAGGAGGAACACCAAUGGCGAAGGCAGCUCGCUGGAACGGUACUGACGCUGAGGCGACGAAAGCGUGGGGAGCGAACAGG